AUUGAACGCUGGCGGCAUGCUUUACACAUGCAAGUCGAACGGUAACAGGCCUUCGGGUGCUGACGAGUGGCGAACGGGUGAGUAAUGCAUCGGAACGUGCCCAGAGGUGGGGGAUAACGCAGCGAAAGCUGUGCUAAUACCGCAUGUGAUCUGAGGAUGAAAGCGGGGGACCAGGCAGCAAUGUUUGGCCUCGCGCCUUUGGAGCGGCCGAUGUCAGAUUAGGUAGUUGGUGGGGUAAAGGCCUACCAAGCCGACGAUCUGUAGCUGGUCUGAGAGGACGACCAGCCACACUGGGACUGAGACACGGCCCAGACUCCUACGGGAGGCAGCAGUGGGGAAUUUUGGACAAUGGGCGCAAGCCUGAUCCAGCAAUGCCGCGUGCGGGAAGAAGGCCUUCGGGUUGUAAACCGCUUUUGUACGGAACGAAAAGGCUCUGGCUAAUACCUGGGGCUGAUGUCGGUACCGUAAGAAUAAGCACCGGCUAACUACGUG
rnacentral:rRNA from 1 species